rnacentral:rRNA from 2 species
UACGUAGGGCGCAAGCGUUAUCCGGAAUUAUUGGGCGUAAAGAGCUCGUAGGCGGUUUGUCGCGUCUGCUGUGAAAUCCCGAGGCUCAACCUCGGGUCUGCAGUGGGUACGGGCAGACUAGAGUGCGGUAGGGGAGAUUGGAAUUCCUGGUGUAGCGGUGGAAUGCGCAGAUAUCAGGAGGAACACCGAUGGCGAAGGCAGAUCUCUGGGCCGUAACUGACGCUGAGGAGCGAAAGGGUGGGGAGCAAACAGG